rnacentral:sRNA from 1 species
AACCCCCAGCUAGGCUGGGGGUUCCGGAAAGCUUUCAGCUUUGAGCCAGUUAUUAAAACCCCUUUUGAUUUGUUAGUAAGCGUCAACGG